GAAAGAGCUCAGUAUAGUCAUACAUUAUAGCAAAUACGGAGCAGAAAUGUACAUAUAUACAUAUAUGUAUACAUACACAUCGAUGUAUACCUACAGAUGUAUGUAUGUAUGUGUACAGAACAGUUUGUGGCGACCUAGCACUUUCUACCUGGUACAUACCUACAUACAAAUGAAUAAUAAAUUCAUAAUAAGCAGUAAAUUGCGGGUAUAUCGCAAUAUUUAAUAUAAUAAUUAAUUAUAGCUUUAUCUUAAGAAUUAAUCAGAAUAAAACUGCAAUACAAAUAUUAAGUUUUUCUGGGGAAGUUGAUGAUUUGCCGAUUUAAAAGCAAAUAUUGCUAAAGGCACAUACAAACAUACAUCCAUAUAAAGUAUGUAAAUAGAAAUGUAUGAUAUUGGUAUGCCAACUUAAUGUUUUUUUUUUUUUUGACAAAUUUAAACAAAUUAAGAGUUAAAUUGAAUUUCUUAUUAAUUAAAUUGAACUAGAAAUUGAACACUAGGUUUACAACCUUUAACUUAUAAGCCGAUACCACCUUUUAACGCACAUACAAACAUAUGCAGAUGGGGUAGUAAAUUGUGCACCAUUUUCUUUCUUUUAAAUAAAUAUACGUUUUUGUACCAAAAUGGUAUUUAAAUAAACGAAUCUAAAUGUAUUAAAGAAUUUGGAAAGGAAAGUAUAAAAUUAGUUGGCUUUCUUGGUAGUUCAUUUCUUCAGCCUUUUGUAUACAAAUGCAAAAAAUAGAGCCGUAAAAAAGAGAAUUUCGGAAUUUACUAGCCGUUAAGGCCUUACGUGGAAUAAUAAUAUUUAUUUUUCUUCUAAUUUUAAAAUCCAAACAGUUUUUAACAUAUCCAAGCAAAAAAUAAAUAAAUAACCAAAAUAUUUCGAAGUUAAUAAGCCAUUUACGCAGUUGGAUCUGCAUUUGGCUUGGCUAAACAAAUGGAUGGGGGAGCGUGAUUCAGUUCUCUGCUGAACAGAGCAAAUAUAUGUAUGCAUGCACAUAUAAACUAACACAUUUUUGUUGAGCUGUGUGUGUCCAUAUAUACGUACAUAUGUACGUAUGUUUGUAUUGAAUACGUUCCAACAAACCCCAAACCAAUAUGCCUUUUCGCUUAUCGCUACUUAAAACAGAAAGGUGACUCUUAAACACUAUGUGCUAGAGCGAAAUAAACAGACUUGAAGCGAAAAUCAAUAAAGACGUUUGUAGAAUUUUCCGGACUUUUUGGAGCUACACAGCCAGCAAGUAUAAAUACAGCAGCACCAGCCUGCAUGUCAUCAUUUGUGUUUCAAACGUGAAAGUUGGUGUUAAAUUCAAGUGUAAAAUCAAGAGGAAGUGUAAAAGUUAUAUUGUUAUUAAGUUGGUGGUUUUGAGCAGAGAAAAAGUAGUUGUGAAAUUGAAGUUUGCAGAAAUGGCGACCGGAAGUUGGUGUUUAGUGAUGAAGUUGGCAGCAGUCUUGUUCGAAGAAGAAGAAGAACCUGGUUAGCAGAGGCAACGACGAGGGUUAUAUAGAAUCUGAAUGCAUUUGGAAAUCAAGUCAGAAGAAAAGGCUAAGCACAGAGUCAAUGCGUGGAGUUUUUUUCCCCCCCGGAACUUUUAGCUACCGAUCACUAGCUGUUCACAUUUGACCAGAUGUAUGUAUCUGUACGUACGUAGUAUCUGUUAAAAUAGGCAGGAUGAAUAUUUUCGAAUGAGGACAGGCAGGAAUGUAACGAGGAAUCAAGUACUUAGAUGCAGACAGGCAGGCAGUCAGGCUAACGUACGUAAUGUGCAUAUGAUUUGGCAGAAAGCUGCGUUGACUGACAAACUCCUUAAGGUGCCAAAAGGAUGAGGAGAAUGAGUAAGUUGUUGGGCGUCUUGAAAAGCAAUUUUGUCGCUUAUACUUCUACUACAUGCAAACCUAAGUAAAUAACUAAAAGUUAUUAACGUUUGCUGAUAGAACUGAAACGCUCAGUAUUAAAUGACAAUAUUUGACCAUAGGCGCCGCAGAGCUCGUAUUAAACUGAAGACAAAGCGAUUACUAUCUACCCAUCUACAAAAUAUAGAACCUACGACUAAAUAUUCUUCUUCUGCGAGAUUGUUGUUUCUUCUACUGCAAAAUCCCUUGUCAGCGACGGUAGAGGAAUGCUAUUAUGAUGCAGAAUUGGUGUUUUUGUUCCACUUACAUACGUACAAUAUAUUAAAAUCCCCGAGAUUAGCACGAAUUUGUUAAGAAACCUAACACAAUUUAUACAUAUGAAACGUUGAAAAGAAAAAAUUAUAUGCAAUUUAUUAGGGAUUGAAUGAAUAAUUCAAUUGCUACAGUAUGUACUAGUGUUACAUAAACAAACAGAAAAUCAAACUAAUUAACAUACAUAUAAAUUAUGUUUUUCAAAACUGCGUUAAUUAUAUAAUAUAUGAGAAAGGAAAAAUUUUAUACAAAUCAAACCAAAGCAAAAUACUGAAAAAAGGAAUGCAAAAACUAAAAAAAAAAAUCAAGAAUUACAGCUAAGGUUAAAAUAAAUUAAAAUUCCCCUCCAUUCUUUUAA